rnacentral:misc_RNA from 1 species
UUCCCAUUUUAGGGGCAAUUGAGUUGUUCACUUCAGCAGGUGCGCUUAAUGGCACACUUGCAGUCAGCAUUGGCAAACUUUGAAUAAAAUUGUUGUUAGGAACCACAGGAAAUAAUGGUUGAGACACAGGAACAGGUGGGGUAGAUACUGGCAGUCCUGGAGGAGCAACAGGUAGUGAUGGUUGAAGUAUAGGUGGUGCAGUUGCUUGCACUGGAGGCCUGACAUUCUGCACAGGAAACAGUGGUUGUUGCGGCAAACCCAUAGGUGCAGUAGGUGGAAACAUGACAGCAGGAUACUGUGGAUACCAAGGAAGGGGCCGAGGAGGAACUGGCCAACCGGCAGGACGCAUUGGAACAGCAGGAUUGUAGAGUGGUGGUACUGUGCCGAAAGUUGCCCGGGGAGGAUAACCGGCAGCUAAUGAUCCUGGAAGCACACCACCAACAUACUGGGAUGAUAGGAUGUCUACUUUGGCAGUCUUUGCCACGGCCUCAUCCUCUUCCUCUCCAUAGUGAGCAGCUAACGCAUCCGGUGGGAUUCCUUCCAUUCCAUAUAUUUCAAUAUCUGUUGAUUCUCUGCCUUCUUUGGCAUUUGGUACCUUGGUGACGGUCUCCUUGUGAACCUGGAGAACGUGAAUG